ensembl:lncRNA
CAGAGGAAGCGUUCUUGAGGAGGGAAGCACUCUCCAUCCCUCCUCUGCUUUGGGAAAAAGAGAAUACAAGAUAAGGGAGAAGACAGGGGAAGAAGGGGGAAAAGUGAAGGGGGUACAUAGGAAAAGGACAGCAGUGAAAGGCUAGAGUGUGCAGGGGGGCCGGCGACGGUGAGGGCGGCAGGUUGAAGCAGGAGCGUGGGCGCUGGGGCAGGGGCAGCUGCCCCUACUUGGAGGCGGUAUGUGCUGCGCCCCUCAGCUAGACACUGUUGGAGUGUGCUCGGACCACAGAGCCCACACAGCCGGGCAAGUCUGUGCCAUUCGGGAUUCCCAUGGUCCUCAUCAUAUCACCAGGUCCACCACACAUCUUCCAGAAAGACCACGAUGAACAAAAGCACGGCCCCAGGGCUUGGGCGCACUGGUCCCAGGACACUGGCCUCCUGAUCACUGGUGGAGGCGACCAGCAAAAUGUUGCCCCAGAGAUCUCCUGAGCACCUGGGAUGCACAGAUGACUGGCGUGAGAGAGCACAUGGAGCAGAGCGGCUAGAUGAUCAUCAACUGCUGACACUCAGCAAAAUAAAGCUUGGAAGGCUGGGAAUCCUUGAUAGCUUUGAAAGCACUUGCUUCUUCAAGAGCUCUGUUUCCAGAACUUACAGCAGGAAACUGUUGCACUUUGGGGUCCUGCCUUAAAGCAGGAUAAGACUUGGUUACUCAGAGAAGGUAGGAAAACAAAAUAUGGAGGUAUGUGACUUUUCUUAUUAAACACUGAUCAUAUCCUCAAUGACAAAUGUAAUUUUUGUGUGAUAAUACUUUAAAGUGACUUUCUUUUUAAUGACUACAUUGUAUGUCUUGUUUGUAUGGGGGGUGCAUUUACAAUUUAUGAGAUUAUAUAUAUUAAAAUCUGCAUUAAUAUUCUGGAUCAUUAAGGUGUAAAAAGAAAGGAAAAAUUCACUAAAUAAGUAACAUCUUAAGGGAGGUCAUGGGAUGUCUUGGUAGUUGUCUGCAGAGACUCUCAGGUUUUAUGAAAUGGUGAAUUGAAUGGACUAGGCUGUGAAAGACCUAAUAGUGUCACUUAUUCCUUUGCCCCCUGUAACUAAUGUAAUUUCAGCCCUUCCUUUACUGCUAUGUCCAUGUGAAUUAAGAAUGAGGCUGAAUUAAUUGGAGAGUUUGUGCUAUAGUAUUCUUGAUUGCAGCAUGAUAUGUUGUAGAUGCUUGGCACAUUGAAAUUACCCUCUUGUCCACAGAGUAUAUUUCUACAAUCUCAGCAGGCUAUAAUAAUUUCAUAAGAAAUUAAAUGAAGGUGGAAAUUAAGAGGACAUUUAAAGUAUCAAGCAACUGUGAUUCAGAACACAAUCAUACAUUUAUAUUCCAUUAAAAAUUAUGACAUGUAAUUUAAUCAUCCAUGAUUUAUAAAUAUAUAUUUUAAUUUAUAGUAUUAAAAAGGACAUGGAGCUUUUUAAAUUUUGUAAUUAAGCAUAUACAUAUAAAUUUUAUUUAUUUGUUUAUUUUUGCCUUUUUUGCCAUUUCUAGGGCCAUUCCCUCGGCAUAUGGAGAUUCCCAGGCUAGGGGUCGAAUCAGAGCUGUAGCCACUGGCCUCUACCAGAGUCACAGCAACGCAGGAUCCGAGCCACAUCUGCGACCUACACCACAGCUCACAGCAACGCCAGAUCCUUAACCCACUGAGCAAGGGCAGGGAUCGAACCCUCAACCUCAUGGUUCCUAGUCGGAUUCAUCAACUGCUGAGCCAUGACAGGAACUCCAUACAUAUAAAUUUUAAAGACUUACUCUUGUCAGUUUGCUGUGACAUUGUUCUAGUAUAAUCCUGACAUGAUUAUCACAACUAUUAGUUUUUUAGGCUAUAUUAGAAGAUCCUUUCUUUCCUUUUUAUCCCAAAUUAUUUUAUUGGUUCAGAAAUCACUUUACAAUUGACGAUUUGGAGGUAAAUAUAUAGUUUGUUAUGUAAGGGAAAAAUUUACCUACUUGAAGAUAUGUCAUUUGAAAUUUUAACUAUGUUGCUGAAAUAUUUGAUGGAUUUCAAUCUAUAAAGCCAACAAUUAACACAGUGAAAUAAAUUUUCACUUUUAUUGUUAACA